rnacentral:rRNA from 1 species
CAGGCCUAAUCAUGCAAGUCGAACGGUAACAGCACUUCGGUGGCUGACGAGUGGCGCACGGGUGCGUAACGCGUAUACAAUCUACCUUUUACAGGGGGAUAGCCCAGAGAAAUUUGGAUUAAUACCCCAUGGCAUAUAUUUAUGGCAUCAUAUUUAUAUUAAAGAUUCAUCGGUAAGAGAUGAGUAUGCGUUCUAUUAGCUAGUUGGUGCGGUAACGGCGCACCAAGGCUACGAUAGAUAGGGGCCCUGAGAGGGGGAUCCCCCACACUGGUACUGAGACACGGACCAGACUCCUACGGGAGGCAGCAGUGAGGAAUAUUGGACAAUGGGCGAGAGCCUGAUCCAGCCAUGCCGCGUGCAGGAAGACUGCCCUAUGGGUUGUAAACUGCUUUUAUACGGGAAGAAACACUCCCUCGUGAGGGGGCUUGACGGUACCGUAAGAAUAAGGAUCGGCUAACUCCGUGCCAGCAGCCGCGGUAAUACGGAGGAUCCAAGCGUUAUCCGGAAUCAUUGGGUUUAAAGGGUCCGUAGGUGGACGGUUAAGUCAGAGGUGAAAUCCUGCAGCUCAACUGUAGAAUUGCCUUUGAUACUGGUCGUCUUGAGUCAUUGUGAAGUGGUUGGAAUAUGUAGUGUAGCGGUGAAAUGCAUAGAUAUUACAUAGAACACCGAUUGCGAAGGCAGAUCACUAACAAUGUACUGACACUGAUUGGACGAAAGCGUGGGGAGCGAACAGGAUUAGAUACCCUGGUAGUCCACGCCGUAAACGAUGGUUACUAGCUGUUCGAACUUCGGUUUGAGUGGCUAAGCGAAAGUGAUAAGUAUCCCACCUGGGGAGUACGUUCGCAAGAAUGAAACUCAAAGGAAUUGACGGGGUCCCUCACAAGCGGUGGAGCAUGUGGUUUAAUUCGAUGAUACGCGAGGAACCUUACCAGGGCUUAAAUGUAGCUGGACAGGACUAGAAAUACCUUUUCCUUCGGGCAAUUUACAAGGUGCUGCAUGGUUGUCGUCAGCUCGUGCCGUGAGGUGUCAGGUUAAGUCCUAUAACGAGCGCAACCCCUGUUGUUAGUUGCCAGCGAGUAAUGUCGGGAACUCUAACAAGACUGCCGGUGCAAACCGUGAGGAAGGUGGGGAUGACGUCAAAUCAUCACGGCCCUUACGUCCUGGGCCACACACGUGCUACAAUGGCCGGUACAAUGAGCAGCCACCCCGCGAGGGGGAGCGAAUCUAUAGAACCGGUCACAGUUCGGAUCGGAGUCUGCAACUCGACUCCGUGAAGUUGGAAUCGUUAGUAAUCGGAUAUCAGCCAUGAUCCGGUGAAUACGUUCACAGGCCUUGUACACACCGCC